rnacentral:rRNA from 1 species
GGGUAAUCUUGUGAAACUUCAUCGUGCUGGGGAUAGAGCAUUGCAAUUAUUGCUCUUGAACGAGGAAUCCCUAGUAAGCACAAGUCAUCAGCUUGUGCUGAUUACGUCCCUGCCCUUUGUACACACCGCCCGUCGCUACUACCGAUUGAAUGGCUUAGUGAGGCCUUCGGAUCGUUAGUUGAAAACUGUAAAAGGUUUUCUUCUGAUAAGAAGUUGGUCAAACUUGGUCAUUUAGAGGAAGUAAAAGUCGUAACAAGGUUUCCGUAGGUGAACCUGCGGAAGGAUCAUUACAAAUCAUGGCGAACCUUGCGUUUCGCGAGGUCUUGCGUCCAUUUUCGUAUUUAAAACAUCCCACUCUUUAAAAAAUAUUUAUCUAAUUAUAAAAAUAAAAAAGAUCACUUUCAACAACGGAUCUCUUGGCUCUCGCAUCGAUGAAGAACGUAGCGAAGUGCGAUAUGUAAUGUGAAUUGCAGAAUUCCGUGAAUCAUCGAAUUUUUGAACGCAAAUUGCACUCUCCUCGGAGAGUAUGCCUGUUUGAGGGUCAGCCUAUAAAAAAUCGACAUCGUUGCUGUUUCGCAGUGGCGUUCGUCGGAAAUUGGGUCAUCUUAAAUCUUUUGGUUUAAGCGACUUAAAAUUUUCUUUUUGAUUCCAUGAGCGUUUCUAAGCUUUAUUUCUUUACACGUUUAAGGUAUCGAUUUUUAUUAGACGUGAACGUCAUAUCGGAUCGCGUCCAUAAUCUUUUCAUUAACUGACCUCAGAACAGGGUAGAGUACCCGCUGAACUUAGCAUAAUCAA